rnacentral:tRNA from 1 species
GCCGGGGUGGUGGAACGGCAGACACGGAGCACUCAAAAUGCUCUGCCCGCAAGGGCGUGCGGGUUCGAGUCCCGCUCCCGGCACCA